CCUACGGGAGGCUGCAGUGAGGAAUAUUGGUCAAUGGACGAGAGUCUGAACCAGCCAAGUAGCGUGAAGGAUGACUGCCCUAUGGGUUGUAAACUUCUUUUAUAUGGGAAUAAAACGUUCCACGUGUGGGAUUUUGUAUGUACCAUAUGAAUAAGGAUCGGCUAACUCCGUGCCAGCAGCCGCGGUAAUACGGAGGAUCCGAGCGUUAUCCGGAUUUAUUGGGUUUAAAGGGAGCGUAGGUGGAUUGUUAAGUCAGUUGUGAAAGUUUGCGGCUCAACCGGAAAAUUGCAGUUGAAACUGGCAGUCUUGAGUACAGUAGAGGUGGGCGGAAUGCGUGGUGUAGCGGUGAAAUGCUUAGAUAUCACGAAGAACUCCGAUUGCGAAGGCAGUUCACUGGACUGCAACUGACACUGAGGCUCGAAAGUGUGGGUAUCAAACAGGAUUAGAUACCCUUGUAGUC
rnacentral:rRNA from 1 species